UAGCCUAUAUUUACAGUGAAAAUGUAAGC
rnacentral:piRNA from 1 species